UCCUUAGAUGUUCUGGGCCGCACGCGCGCUACACUGAUGCAUUCAACGAGUCUAAAACCUGGUCUGAGAGGGCUGGGUAAUCUUUUGAAAGUGCAUCGUGAUUGGGAUAGAUGAUUGCAAUUCUUCAUCUUCAACGAGGAAUGCCUAGUAAACGCAAGUCAUCAGCUUGCAUUGAUUACGUCCCUGCCCUUUGUACACACCGCCCGUCGCUCCUACCGAUUGAACGAUCCGAUGAAAACUGUGGAUUGAGAGUCUGAGUGGGUUCGCCUACCUCAACUUUCGAGAAGCGGUUUAAAUCUUAUCGUUUAGAGGAAGGAGAAGUCGUAACA
rnacentral:rRNA from 1 species